UACGUAGGGUGCAAGCGUUGCCCGGAUUUAUUGGGCGUAAAGAGCGUGUAGGCGGCCAUACAGGUCAGCUGUGAAAACUCGAGGCUCAACCUCGAGACGUCGGUUGAAACCGUUUGGCUAGAGUCCGGAAGAGGAGAGUGGAAUUCCCGGUGUAGCGGUGAAAUGCGCAGAUAUCGGGAAGAACACCCGUGGCGAAGGCGGCUCUCUGGGACGGUACUGACGCUGAGACGCGAAAGCGUGGGGAGCGAACAGG
rnacentral:rRNA from 1 species